rnacentral:rRNA from 1 species
UACGUAGGGUGCAAGCGUUAAUCGGAAUUACUGGGCGUAAAGCGUGCGCAGGCGGUUAUGUAAGACAGGUGUGAAAUCCCCGGGCUUAACCUGGGAACUGCAUUUGUGACUGCAUAGCUAGAGUACGGUAGAGGGGGAUGGAAUUCCGCGUGUAGCAGUGAAAUGCGUAGAUAUGCGGAGGAACACCGAUGGCGAAGGCAAUCCCCUGGACCUGUACUGACGCUCAUGCACGAAAAGCGUGGGGGACAAACAGG